GAAAGAUUCAUCCUUCUCGUAUCAUUACCAAUCAGUGGUUCUUUGGUAAUUGCGUUCCUGCACACGUCCUUUUUCCUCAUGAAGAUUCUUGCCGUUGUCCUACUUCGGUUCUUGCAAAGAGCCUGACAUACGGCAAAAAACUGAAGUUGAUAGAUUUACGCCCUGUAUUCUUCUUCGUGGAAACCUGUUUCAGUGCGCAACUUGUUCCCAUACCCUCAAGCAAGCGUGUACCCGCCACCGAGCUCACAUGGCUACCAGACCCACCUUGGUGAAGAGAGCCCUUCCUAUAACUGGCCAGGGCAAGCGGCUCCAUCUGAUCGUGGACCUCACUUGUACAGCUACCAAGACGAUCCUGACUGCCUCACCUUCCUGAGAGGAUGCUUGGCUGGGCUGUGCUGCUGCUGCUUGUUGGAGCAGUGUUGCUACUACUGACUGCUACUACGAUACCUGCUGAGACGUGUGUCUACUCUACCCUUCUCCCCUUGGGUGAUUCCUGGCUACUCAAGUUGAACAGCUUUGCUUGUGCGUGAGUAUGAUCUCAUCUGUACUGUACUAUGUAACUCUAGACAUGCGUGAAAUAAUGAAGCUGCCAGCCGGUUCUUUC